GUGCUUGCUACCGCAACACAUAUACAAUUGGAACCAUACAGAGAAGAUUAGCGUGGCCCCUGCACAAGGAUGGCAGGCAAAUUCAUGGAGCGUGUUCCGUAUUUUU
ensembl:snRNA U6 U6 spliceosomal RNA